GGGGUAGCCGUAGGGAAACCGAAUCCUAAUGGGGUGUUUAGUGGCAUGUCCUGGACCCGAAGCGGGGUGAUCUACCCAUGGCCAGUGUGAAGCAGCAGUAAGAUGCUGUGGAGGCGCGAACCCACGUAGGUUGAAAACUGCGGGGAUGAGCUGUGGGUAGGGGUGAAAGGCCAAUCAAACUCCGUGAUAGCUGGUUCUCCCCGAAAUGCAUUUAGGUGCAGCGUCGCAUUAGCUUGGUGGAGGUAGAGCUACUGGUUGGUUGAGCGGGACUACAAUCUUAGCAAUGUCAGCCAAACUCCGAAUGCCAUUAAUGUGUUGUGCGGCAGUGAGACUGUGGGGGAUAAGCUUCAUAGUCGAGAGGGAAACAGCCCAGAUCGCCGGUUAAGGCCCCUAAGGGUGUGCUAAGUGGAAAAGGAUGUGGGAUCGCGAAGACAGCCAGGAGGUUGGCUUAGAAGCAGCCAUCCUUGAAAGAGUGCGUAAUAGCUCACUGGUCGAGUGGUUCUGCGCCGACAAUGUAGUGGGGCUCAAGCACACCGCCGAAGCCGCGGCAAUAAUAUUUUGUUAUUGGGUAGGGGAGCGUCGUGCACGUGUUGAAGCGUUACCGUGAGGAGGCGUGGAGUGUGUGCGAGUGAGAAUGCAGGCAUGAGUAACGAAUUGGAAGGUGAGAAUCCUUCCCGCCGGAUGACUAAGGGUUCCUGGGUCAAGUUCGUCUUCCCAGGGUGAGUCGGGACCUAAGGCGAGGCCGACAGGCGUAGUCGAUGGAUAACCAGUUGAUAUUCUGGUACCCGAGUAUAUGCGCCCCUGAUAAAGCACUGAUACUAACCACCGUAAGCUGUUGUGAUUGGCCUUCGGGUUAACAUGGUGGCAAGCCGUGGGGCCUGAUGUGUGGUUCAAGCGAUGGGGUGACACAGUGGGGUAGCCAUGCCGCUUAGUGGAUUGUUGGUGUAAGCGUGUAGGUGAUGGUGUAGGUAAAUCCGCACUUGUUAGCUGAGACGUGAUGCGUAGCCUUAAUUGGUGAAGUUGGUGAUCCCGUGCUGUCGAGAAAAGCCUCUAGCGAUGUAUAUACUCGGCCCGUACCCCAAACCGACACAGGUAGUCAGGUUGAAAAUACUAAGGCGUUCGGGUGAACUGUGGUUAAGGAACUCGGCAAAAUGCCCCCGUAACUUCGGG
rnacentral:rRNA from 1 species